AGUGAACGCUGGCGGCAGGCCUAAUACAUGCAAGUCGAACGGCAGCACAGCAGAGCUUGCUCUGUGGGUGGCGAGUGGCGGACGGGUGAGGAAUACAUGGGAAUCUGCCCAGUCGUGGGGGAUAACGUAUGGAAACGUACGCUAAUACCGCAUGCGCCCUACGGGGGAAAGUCGGGGACCGCAAGGCCUGACGCGAUUGGAUGAGCCCAUGUUCGAUUAGCUAGUUGGCGGGGUAAAGGCCCACCAAGGCGACGAUCGAUAGCUGGUCUGAGAGGAUGAUCAGCCACACUGGAACUGAGACACGGUCCAGACUCCUACGGGAGGCAGCAGUAGGGAAUAUUGGACAAUGGGGGCAACCCUGAUCCAGCCAUGCCGCGUGAGUGAAGAAGGCCCUCGGGUUGUAAAGCUCUUUUGUCCGGAAAGAAAGCAAUCGGUUAAUACCCGGUUGUUCUGACGGUACCGGAAGAAUAAGCACCGGCUAACUUCGUGCCAGC
rnacentral:rRNA from 1 species